rnacentral:rRNA from 1 species
GACGAACGCUGGCGGCGUGCUUAACACAUGCAAGUCGAACGGGCCCGCCCCUGUUUUUGGGGGUGGGUUGAGUGGCGAACGGGUGAGUAUCACGUGAGUAACCUGCCCCCUGCUCCUGGAUAACUGCUUGAAAGGGCGGCUAAUACGGGGUGUGCCGGCUGGUCCGCAUGGGCCUGGUCGGGAUAGUUUCAUCUUCGGGUGUUUCGGCGGGGGAUGGGCUCGCGGCCUAUCAGCUUGUUGGUGGGGUGAUGGCCCACCAAGGCGGUGACGGGUAGCCGGCCUGAGGGGAUGGGCGGCCGCGCUGGGGCUGGGACACGGCCCAGACUCCUGCGGGAGGCAGCUGUGGGGGGUAUUGCACAAUGGGCGGAAGCCUGAUGCGGCGACGUCGCGUGAGGGAUGGAGGCCUUCGGGUUGUGAACCUCUUUCUCCGGUGGUGAAGGCCCUGUCCGUUGCGGCGGGGUUGACGGUAGCCGGGUAUGAAGCGCCGGCUAACUACGUG